rnacentral:rRNA from 1 species
UACGGGAGGCAGCAGGGGGAAUAUUGCACAAUGGGCGCAAGCCUGAUGCAGCCAUGCCGCGUGUAUGAAGAAGGCCUUCGGGUUGUAAAGUACUUUCAGUCGUGAGGAAGGUGUUAAGGUUAAUAACCUUAGCAAUUGACGUUAGCGACAGAAGAAGCACCGGCUAACUCCGUGCCAGCAGCCGCGGUAAUACGGAGGGUGCGAGCGUUAAUCGGAAUUACUGGGCGUAAAGGGCACGCAGGCGGUUAAUUAAGUUGGAUGUGAAAUCCCCGGGCUUAACCUGGGAAUGGCAUUCAAGACUGGUUAGCUAGAGUCUUGUAGAGGGGGUUAGAAUUCCAUGUGUAGCGGUGAAAUGCGUAGAGAUGUGGAGGAAUACCGGUGGCGAAGGCGGCCCCUGGACAAAGACUGACGCUCAUGUGCGAAAGCGUGGGGAGCAAACGAGGGAUUAGAUACC